UACGAAGGGGGCUAGCGUUGUUCGGAAUCACUGGGCGUAAAGGGUGCGUAGGCGGGUCUUUAAGUCAGGGGUGAAAUCCUGGAGCUCAACUCCAGAACUGCCUUUGAUACUGAAGAUCUUGAGUUCGGGAGAGGUGAGUGGAACUGCGAGUGUAGAGGUGAAAUUCGUAGAUAUUCGCAAGAACACCAGUGGCGAAGGCGGCUCACUGGCCCGAUACUGACGCUGAGGCGCGAAAGCGUGGGGAGCGAACAGG
rnacentral:rRNA from 1 species